AGACGAAGGGGGCUAGCGUUGUUCGGAAUUACUGGGCGUAAAGCGAGUGUAGGUGGUUGCCAUAGUCAGGUGUGAAAGCCUUGAGCUCAACUCAAGAAAUGCACUUGAUACUGGGCGACUAGAGGACCGGAGAGGAUAGUGGAAUUCCCAGUGUAGUGGUGAAAUACGUAGAGAUUGGGAAGAACACCAGUGGCGAAGGCGGCUAUCUGGACGGUUUCUGACACUAAGACUCGAAAGCGUGGGGAGCGAACAG
rnacentral:rRNA from 1 species